UAUUUCACAAUGGGCGCAAGCCUGAUGCAGCCAUGCCGCGUGUAUGAAGAAGGCCUUCGGGUUGUAAGGUACUUUCAGCGGGGAGGAAGGGAGUAAAGUCAAUACCUUUACUCAUUGACGCUACCCGCAGAAGAAGCACCGGCUAACUCCGUGCCAGCAGCCGCGGUAAUACGGAGGGUGCAAGCGUUAAGCGGAAUUACUGGGCGUAAAGCGCACGCAGGCGGUUUGUUAAGUCAGAUGUGAAAUCCCCGGGCUCAACCUGGGAACUGCAUCUGAUACUUGCAAGCUUGAGUCUCGUAGAGGGGGGUAGAAUUCCAGGUGUAGCGGUGAAAUGCGUAGAGAUCUGGAGGAAUACCGGUGGCGAAGGCGGCCCCCUGGACGAAGACUGACGCUCAGGUGCGAAAGCGUGGGGGGCAAA
rnacentral:rRNA from 1 species